rnacentral:tRNA from 1 species
CCGCCCUUAGCUUAAGAAGAGCAAUGGUCUUGUAAAUCAUAGGUGCAGGCUUAGUUCUGUGGGGUGGU